GUGGGGAAUAUUGCACAAUGGGCGCAAGCCUGAUGCAGCCAUGCCGCGUGUGUGAAGAAGGCCUUCGGGUUGUAAAGUACUUUCAGCGAGGAGGAAGGUGUUGUGGUUAAUAACCACAGCAAUUGACGUUACUCGCAGAAGAAGCACCGGCUAACUCCGUGCCAGCAGCCGCGGUAAUACGGAGGGUGCAAGCGUUAAUCGGAAUUACUGGGCGUAAAGCGCACGCAGGCGGUCUGUCAAGUCGGAUGUGAAAUCCCCGGGCUCAACCUGGGAACUGCAUCCGAAACUGGCAGGCUAGAGUCUUGUAGAGGGGGGUAGAAUUCCAGGUGUAGCGGUGAAAUGCGUAGAGAUCUGGAGGAAUACCGGUGGCGAAGGCGGCCCCCUGGACAAAGACUGACGCUCAGGUGCGAAAGCGUGGGGAGCAAACAGGAUUAGAAACCCUGGUAGUCC
rnacentral:rRNA from 1 species